GUGCUCACUUCGGCAGCACAUAUACUAAGGUUGAGACGAACGAUACAGAGAAGAUUUAGCGUGGCUCCUGUGCAAAGAUGACAUGCAAAUUUGUGAAGUAUUCCAUAUUUAA